rnacentral:rRNA from 1 species
CUUGGUCAUUUAGAGGAAGUAAAAGUCGUAACAAGGUUUCCGUAGGUGAACCUGCGGAAGGAUCAUUAUCGUACAAAAUGUGUGAGGCAUGCAAGGGCUGUCGCUGACUUUUUAAUCACAAAAAGUCGUGCACGCCGGAGCGUGUCCUCUCGCAUAAAAUCCAUCUCACCCUUUUGUGCACCACCGCGUGGGCACCCUUUGGGAUCGAACCGAUCCAGGAGGGCGCUUGCGUUUUCACACAAACCCCCUUAUAAAAGUGUAGAAUGACCCCAUUUUUGCGAUAACACGCAAUCAAUACAACUUUCAACAACGGAUCUCUUGGCUCUCGCAUCGAUGAAGAACGCAGCGAAAUGCGAUACGUAAUGUGAAUUGCAGAAUUCAGUGAAUCAUCGAAUCUUUGAACGCACCUUGCGCCCCUUGGUAUUCCGAGGGGCACACCCGUUUGAGUGUCGUGAAAAUCUCAACCUCCUCGGUUUCUUCUGGACGCCGAAGGAGGCUUGGACUUUGGAGGCCUUUGCUGGCGUCUCUCGCCAGCUCCUCUCAAAUGAAUUAGCGGGGUCCUCUUUGCCGAUCCUCGACGUGUGAUAAGAUGUUUCCAUGUCUUGGUUUCUGGCUCUGUCGCCUUUGGGACCCGCUUCUAACCGUCUCAAGUCGAGACAACGUUUGAGCGUGUCUCCCUUCUCGGGAAACACCCUCGAGCCCACGAACCCUUGACCUCAAAUCGGGUGAGACUACCAGCUGAACUUAAGCAUAUCAAUAAGCGGAGG